GUGGACUGAAUGAACAGCAUACGUUGGCAAACCACGCUGCUGUUCUCAGUACACUAUCUCUCAAGACAUUGCGAUCUGACCAGUGGAAAAACAGGAUGUGGUUAACUUUAUGGCUGUAAACGAUACUGACAUCUGUAGUGGUUAAAUAACUGCCUGCAUAUUGCCACGUAGAUAUGCUGUUGUCCUAUGUAUGUACGUGAUGUUAUACAAUAGUUAAAGGUCAUAGGCUGUUUAUGGAGAAAAAAUAAUCCACGCCUCCAGGCGGAGGUAAUAAUAAAAGCGGAGACCAGAAUUACGAGGGGGGCUCCGAAAUUGAACUCUGGUCUCACCGUGUCUCACUGUGUCGUGAUAUCUACAUCUGGUGACCUCGACGUGAUUCAGAACAAACACCCUCGUACCCACUGGCAGGAUCAGCCAACGGUGCACCUCAGCGUACAGCUCCCAUUCGUAGCUGCAGUACUGGCAGAAGUGACCAGGGAGAAACCGGUUCCGGCAUUUUCAGCAGUCGGAGUCUCUACCUGCCCCGCGGGUGCAGUUUCGGCAACUACCAAAUCCAGAGUGGAAAGGCCCAGUUCCGCUUAUAACGUGGGGUCGAGGUUACGCGGCUGUGUCUACGCCUGACGGUCCUGUGUGGGUACCUGCUAGGUGUAUCCGGCCCUGGAAAGACGAUGUCCUGGCACGAUAAUCUUAAGAAUCCCAUCCCUAAUUUUUCUCUGCAACUUCAGGAUACUGGGAUGUCUUCCAGGAAGCGUGGUCGGAAUGUUCCGCAAC